UGGGAGAAAAACUAGGAAGGUGAGGGACUGAAAAGGGAAAACCUAGGAUGGUGAGGAACGCAGGAGAAGAAACUAGGAGGGCAGGGGCUCAAAGGAAAAAAACCUAGGAUGACCAGGGAGCUCAGGGAGAUGCGGGGAACCGGGGCUGGGAAGCCGCGGAGGAGGCACUGGAACGGGGGAGCCGAGGAGCACUGGCCGGAGCGUGGAAGCGGAGGCAGAGUAAUGUAGGGUGCCGCAGGAGGAGGACUGAACGGGGAGGCCAGCUGACUGGAACAGGAGGAUGAGGAAGUGGAUUCUGAAAGACAAACACAAAGGAGGAUCAGGUGUGGACAUGUGGAGGCAGUAUUGAAGUAGUUCCAUGCUCCAAGAUCGCCCACAUUGAGAGGGCCCACAAGCCCUACAUGCCUGACCUGAGCAAAGCCAUGAGGAGAAACGCCCUGAGGGUAGCAGAAGUCUGGAUGGAUGAAUACAAACACAACGUCAACUUGGCUUGGAACUUGCCGUUUGAGGGGAAAGAACUGAAGAACAGAGAUACAAAAAGGUGUCUGGAGAUUAAGAAUGGCGUGCUUCUAAUACAGGAAUGCUCUGGCCAAAGAUGGGAAAUCCAAAACAUAAUCAAAGCCUUUUAAAGUGAGCGGCCAACAAGAAGUGCACAUCUCUGCUCAUUGGUCAGUGAAUAAUAUCACCUGAAUG